rnacentral:rRNA from 1 species
GACGAACGCUGGCGGCGUGCUUAACACAUGCAAGUCGAGCGGUAAGGCCCCUUCGGGGGUACACGAGCGGCGAACGGGUGAGUAACACGUGAGCAAUCUGCCCAUCACAUCGGGAUAACUCCGGGAAACCGAAGCUAAUACCGAAUACGACCACUCCCGGCAUCGGGUGGUGGUGGAAAGUUCCGGCGGUGAUGGAUGAGCUCGCGGCCUAUCAGCUUGUUGGUGGGGUAAUGGCCCACCAAGGCAACGACGGGUAGCCGGCCUGAGAGGGUGACCGGCCACACUGGGACUGAGACACGGCCCAGACUCCUACGGGAGGCAGCAGUGGGGAAUAUUGGACAAUGGGCGAAAGCCUGAUCCAGCAACGCCGCGGGAGGGAUGACGGCCUUCGGGUUGUAAACCUCUUUCAGCAGGGACGAAGCGCAAGUGACGGUACCUGCAGAAGAAGCCCCGGCUAACUACGUGCCAGCCGCCGCAGUAACAC